rnacentral:rRNA from 1 species
UACAUAGGUCUCAAGCGUUGUUCGGAUUCAUUGGGCGUAAAGGGUGCGUAGGCGGCGCGGUAAGUCGGAUGUGAAAUCUCGGAGCUUAACUUCGAAACUGCAUUCGAUACUGCCGUGCUUGAGGACUGGAGAGGAGACUGGAAUUUACGGUGUAGCGGUGAAAUGCGUAGAUAUCGUAAGGAAGACCAGUGGCGAAGGCGGGUCUCUGGACAGUUCCUGACGCUGAGGCACGAAGGUCAGGGGAGCAAACGGG